GGUUCUGACUUGGCAGACUCGCACUCUUGCAAAACUGCGAUCCAGGUGGGAAAGGGAGAGAUGGGUGACUCCAAGAGCAGUCUUGGCUUCCUCCUUUUGCUUCUGAUUGUCUUGUUCAGCGGGACGUCCAGCGACGCUCAUUCUCUUUCCUAUAAUUUCACCAUUGAUCCUCAGCCCAGAGAUGAUCAGCCAUGGUGUGAGGUUCAAGGAGAAGUUGAUCAAAAGGUCUUUCUCUCCUAUGACUGUGGUACAGCUAAGAUCAAGUACAUGAGUCCAUUGGGAGAGGAAGUGAAAAAUAUGAGCGCCUGGGAAGCACAGACUGUCACACUCAGAGACACUGGAGACUUGCUCCAGGGGCAGAUGCCUGACGUUACACCGGAGAAACACACAGACAAGGUGGGAUCAGGCCUUGUGACCCUGCAGGCCAGGAUGACAUGCUGGCGUGAAGACGAUGGACACACCAAUGCAUCCUGGGGGUUUGGCUUCAAUGGACAGCUGUGCCUCCUCUUUGAUUCAGAGAAUGGACACUGGACAGUGGUUCAUCCUGGAGGGAGACAGAUGAAAGAGAAAUGGGAGAACGACAGGACUGUGACUGACUUCUUCAGGACAGUCUCCAUGGGAGACUGUUGGGCCUGGCUUCAGGCUUUCUUGGUGCACUGGGAGAAAAUGUUGAAGAGCUUGGCACCACCGACCACAGUCCCCACGACAGUGCAGCCCACGGCCGCAACCAACAACCACAUAACAGAGAUCAUCUUUGUGGUUCUCCCCGUUUUCGUCAUAACAAGCAUCGUAGCCUGCAUCCUUUACAAGAAGAGGAAGUGGCCUGGGUCAAGCAGGCAAGGCAGGAGACCCACAGCAGAGACUGUGGGAAGUGCU
rnacentral:lncRNA from 1 species